rnacentral:lncRNA from 1 species
AAAUAAAUGCUCAAAAAAUUAAGAGACACGUGCAAUACUUGGCCUUAUUUUAGUGUUAUAUAAAUUUUCUAUAACUCAAAUUUAAUUAAAAUUUAAAUUAUAUUAAAAAUUAUUAAAAUAAUAUUAUUUUUAUUGAAUAAAAACUGACAAAUAUACGCUGAUAAGAAAUUGGGAUCUCCUAAUUAAUAGAUCCAGUAGAUUUAGAUUGAGUCCUGGAUGAUUUCUCCCUGCACUGACUACAAUUAGAAGAACCGAAAACUAUAGCUCUGAUUACAAAGCGGUUUUGUUAGAAAACAUCUAGAGACAUCAUCCAUAUAGUCAAUGAUCUUUAAAAAUCUUCUGAGUAUUUUAUUAUUAAAAUCGUUUCUGAUGUAAGUAAUACUAUUACAUUAGAAACGAAUCACGGAACAGUUAAAAAAAAUGGAAUUGUGGAAUUUUUUUUUUUGUUGUCAACAAUUGUGGAGUAGUUUAAAGAAGUAAAAGUUCAGUUCUUCUUUCUUAUUUGUAUGAUCAUUAUUUCACAUCUUGCUCUCUCGAUAAACUAAUAAAUUAAGUAAAAACAAAAAAAAAAAUCCUAGAAUUAAGUGGAUGUGCAAGUUGGAGUGGGUACUGGGUACAGCACGAACAAAACGAAAAGAAUUGUCCCAUGCAUGACUUUAAUUGCUUUGGAGUUAGUUCUUCCAAAUCAAGAAUUAGUUUUAAUUGUCAAUGAAUAGUACCAACCAACUAGUAGUUG